ACAACGGAGAGUUUGAUCCUGGCUCAGGAUGAACGCUGGCGGCGUGCUUAACACAUGCAAGUCGAACGAACCUUCGGGUUAGUGGCGGACGGGUGAGUAACGCGUGAGAAUCUGCCCUCAGGAGGGGGAUAACGGCUGGAAACGGCCGCUAAUACCCCAUAUGCCGAGAGGUGAAAUGAAUUUCGCCUGAGGAUGAGCUCGCGUCUGAUUAGCUAGUUGGUGGGGUAAGAGCCUACCAAGGCAUCGAUCAGUAGCUGGUCUGAGAGGAUGAUCAGCCACACUGGGACUGAGACACGGCCCAGACUCCUACGGGAGGCAGCAGUGGGGAAUUUUCCGCAAUGGGCGAAAGCCUGACGGAGCAACGCCGCGUGAGGGAUGAAGGCCUCUGGGCUGUAAACCUCUUUUAUCAAGGAAGAAGAUCUGACGGUACUUGAUGAAUAAGCCACGGCUAAUUCCGUGCCAGCAGCCGCGGUAAUACGGGAGUGGCAAGCGUUAUCCGGAAUUAUUGGGCGUAAAGCGUCCGCAGGCGGCCUGAUAAGUCUGUUGUCAAAGCGUGGAGCUUAACUCCAUUUCGGCAAUGGAAACUGUGAGGCUUGAGUGUGGUAGGGGCAGAGGGAAUUCCCGGUGUAGCGGUGAAAUGCGUAGAUAUCGGGAAGAACACCAGUGGCGAAGGCGCUCUGCUGGGCCAUAACUGACGCUCAUGGACGAAAGCCAGGGGAGCGAAAGGGAUUAGAUACCCCUGUAGUCCUGGCCGUAAACGAUGAACACUAGGUGUCGGGGAAUCGACCCCUCGGUGUCGUAGCCAACGCGUUAAGUGUUCCGCCUGGGGAGUACGCACGCAAGUGUGAAACUCAAAGGAAUUGACGGGGGCCCGCACAAGCGGUGGAGUAUGUGGUUUAAUUCGAUGCAACGCGAAGAACCUUACCAGGGUUUGACAUCCUGCGAACCCCUUGGAAACGAGGGGGUGCCUUCGGGAGCGCAGAGACAGGUGGUGCAUGGCUGUCGUCAGCUCGUGUCGUGAGAUGUUGGGUUAAGUCCCGCAACGAGCGCAACCCACGUCUUUAGUUGCCAGCAUUCAGUUGGGCACUCUAGAGAGACCGCCGGUGAUAAACCGGAGGAAGGUGUGGAUGACGUCAAGUCAUCAUGCCCCUUACAUCCUGGGCUACACACGUACUACAAUGCUACGGACAAAGGGCAGCAAACUCGCGAGAGCUAGCAAAUCCCAUAAACCGUGGCUCAGUUCAGAUCGUAGGCUGCAACUCGCCUACGUGAAGGAGGAAUCGCUAGUAAUCGCAGGUCAGCAUACUGCGGUGAAUACGUUCCCGGGCCUUGUACACACCGCCCGUCACACCAUGGAAGUUGGCCACGCCCGAAGCCGUUACUCCAACCCUUGUGGAGGAGGACGUCGAAGGUGGGGCUGAUGACUGGGGUGAAGUCGUAACAAGGUAGCCGUACCGGAAGGUGCGGCUGGAUCACCUCCUAA
rnacentral:rRNA from 1 species